rnacentral:tRNA from 1 species
GGAGGGUAUGGCUCAGUGGUAGAGUGCAUGCAUAGGAUGCAUGUGGUCCUGGGUUCAAUUCCCAGUACCUCCA